GGGGAAUUUUGGACAAUGGGCGAAAGCCUGAUCCAGCCAUUCCGCGUGCAGGACGAAGGCCUUCGGGUUGUAAACUGCUUUUGUACGGAACGAAAAGGUCUCUGUUAAUACCAGGGGCUGAUGACGGUACCGUAAGAAUAAGCACCGGCUAACUACGUGCCAGCAGCCGCGGUAAUACGUAGGGUGCGAGCGUUAAUCGGAAUUACUGGGCGUAAAGCGUGCGCAGGCGGUCUUGUAAGACAGAUGUGAAAUCCCCGGGCUCAACCUGGGAACUGCAUU
rnacentral:rRNA from 1 species